UCUCCGUGAAGAGGCGGAGAUAUCUUAAUAAGACGAGAAGACCCUAUGGAGCUUCAAUUUAACUACUCAACCAGUACUAAAACGACCUACUAGGACUAAUGCCCAACUGGAUAUGAGCUGUAAAUUUCGGUUGGGGUGACCUCGGAGAACAAACAAACCUCCGAAUGAUAGUAUCUAAGACUUUAACAGUCUAAGCAAAAAUAAUUUAUUGACCCAAACUUACUUUGAGCAAUGGAACAAGUUACCCUAGGGAUAACAGUGCAAUCCUGUUACAGAGUCCAUAUCGACAAUAGGGUUUACGACCUCGAUGUUGGAUCAGGAUAUCCCAAUGGUGCGAA
rnacentral:ncRNA from 1 species